rnacentral:misc_RNA from 1 species
GGAACAUCCUGUGCUGGUUUCUGCCUCACAUGCAUUGAAGGCAAAGCAGGAGAGGAAGUUCUCUGUCUCUGAGGAGUCAGGCUCACAAAGAUCAACACAGAGUCGAUAUGUUUACAUCUUCCAAAGAGAAUACGCAACUGUCGACCCUGCACUUGUGGAUUUUGUUGGCACUGAUGAAGCAACUACUUGUGUGGGCCUUGUUAUUCGCAACCAGAAAAAUGGAAUGGUAUCUGUUGC